GUUCUUCUGGCGCACUCGAGCCUGGAGCCUGGAGCCUGGAAGUCAUUUUGAACACCUCCCCCUCCCUCACUGCUUCCUUUCAAGCCAUCCAUGAUGCCUGGCUGUCUCUCACUCCUGAAGUUGACCUAGAUAAGAAGCCCCUGAUUGGAUGAGAGGAAGAAACUUGCAUAAAUGUGCCAAACCCAAGGCUGAGCAAAUGGAAGGACAAAGAGUGAUUGGGCACGGACUUGUUGCUGACCCAGAUGGUGAGGAGCUCACUAUCUGAGAGUAAGAGGACCAUGGAUGAACUGUCAUGGGAUGUCAUGGGAUGAAGCCACAGCCAAGGAAGCACAGAGCACAACAGAAACGGUUCAUUUUGCUUGGGGUGGGGGAGGGGACAUGGAAGAAACAGUAUUGAGUAGGAAAUGAGAGGUGGGCUUCAAAGAGUAUGGCAGCUUUUUUUCAGGAAGGAUGGUAGGGGAAAAGCAUUUCUAGCAGAGGGGAACAGCAUGUGCAGAGGUACAGAAGCAUGAGAAAUCUGCUGCGUUCUUGGAAGAGAGUGUAGUUGGGAGACAAUGCAAGACAAGGAAGGGUGGGAGGGGGUUAGCCUAAGGAAUAAAGGAAAAUAAAAGCAGAAAAUCAACUUCUAGUGUUUGGAUGACUUUUUCUGGCCUUUCUCUAAGCUUUGCUUAGACAACCCAAGAGAAAGUUGGUUCUUCCCCUCUCCACAGUUUCCCUCAGGAGAAAAAAGGUUCAUUCAGAACCAGAUGAAGAAAUGCCUAGGGAGCUGAGUGUGGAAUGGAGAGAUCAAGCCAGCCUGAGACUUGAGCAAGGGAAGAGAGGCUGGGGAGGAGGGCCACU